rnacentral:rRNA from 1 species
CCUACGGGGUGCAGCAGUGAGGAAUAUUGGUCAAUGGACGAGAGUCUGAACCAGCCAAGUAGCGUGAAGGAUGACUGCCCUAUGGGUUGUAAACUUCUUUUAUAUGGGAAUAAAAUGUUCCACGUGUGGGAUUUUGUAUGUACCAUAUGAAUAAGGAUCGGCUAACUCCGUGCCAGCAGCCGCGGUAAUACGGAGGAUCCGAGCGUUAUCCGGAUUUAUUGGGUUUAAAGGGAGCGUAGGUUGAUUGUUAAGUCAGUUGUGAAAGUUUGCGGCUCAACCGUAAAAUUGCAGUUGAAACUGGCAGUCUUGAGUACAGUAGAGGUGGGCGGAAUUCGUGGUGUAGCGGUGAAAUGCUUAGAUAUCACGAAGAACUCCGAUUGCGAAGGCAGUUCACUGGACUGCAACUGACACUGAGGCUCGAAAGUGUGGGUAUCAAACAGGAUUAGAUACCCCAGUAGUC